ensembl:lncRNA
UCAGCAUAUAGAGGUUCCCAGGCGAGGGGUCAAAUUGGAGCUGUAGCUGCUAAAUGAAUGGAGCGAGGCCUUCCCACUGAGCGAGGCCAGGGAUUGAACCUAAGUCCUAAUGGAUAAUAGUCAGAUCCGUUUCCACUGAGCCACAACAGGAACUCCAAGAAUUUGCUUUUUAAAUGUAAAGACUUCAAAUAUUAUCCAUUUUUGAACUUUUGCCAUCAGUAUUUGUUUAUUUAUUUAUUAGGGCCACACCUGAGGCAUAUGGAAGUUCCCAGGCUAGGGCUUGAAUUGGAGAUGUAGCCACCAGCCUACACCACAGCCACAGCAAUACUAGAUCCAAGCCACGUCUGUGACCUACACCACAGCUCACAGCGAUGCUGGAUCCUUAACCCACUGAGCGCGGCCAGGGAUUGAGCCCGCAUCCUCAUGCUUCCUAGUUGGGUUGGUUAACCACUGAACCACAAAGGGAACUCCCAUUAAUUAAUUAAAAAAAAUUUUUUUUAGCUCAAGUAGGUCAACAAAUAGAAGUGGUCAGAGCCUCUCUCCAGUCUUGGGAACCCUUGAAAUUCCCAGACAGAUUUUGUCCUUUUGGUCUCUCCACAAUGCCAACUUGACUUCACAGCGUGAUGCAGAUGCUCAGUCAUUGUCCUUGCUACCACAUUUCGUUACCUCUAGAUGCAGAGUCAGAAUUGGAUCCAGCAGUCCUCUCCCCUCAGAUGUCAUUUGGCCAAGUGUAAGGACUGUCCUUUGUGUGGCUAUCUGCCUUGGAGACACUGGUCAUCCUCAUCCCCACAGGAACCCCAGUCAACUCCUCUGAAAGCAUUCUUGGUUGAAAAUGUUCCCAAACAGAAACCAUCUAAAACAAAUGAUAACCUAGAACGCUGCUGCUAAUGCUGCUGCUGCUGCUGCUCCUCCCUUCUCCUUCUUUCCCCCUUGUAGUAGAUUUUCCAAAAUCUACUAGCACUAUCCAGUGGAGAGACUAUAUUUACAUCAGAGAACGGAGCCAGGAUCUUAUAAAUUUCUUACUUUACCUUUUCAUUUGGCUUUUUAGAUCAUAAAAUUUUGUAUUUUUCUCAUUCAUGAGAUUUCACAGAGGCGAUACAAGGAUAAUUCAAGGACAGAAAAACAAAUCAAAAACAAAACAUGAGAACAGAUUAAAGUUGAGGAAGAGAUAGCCAAAGAGUAAAGAGCUUCAUUAUAAGUGCCCAUUGUCAACAAACUACAAAAACAAAACAAAACGAAAACAACCUAAACAGAACAAAAAAAUUUAGGUUAGCCUCCACGAGGAGUUUCCCAAAGACUGUGCUCCUGAUACACCCAGGGAUCAGUCAUCUUGUGCUGUCUCUUUAUAACCUCAAAAUGUUAAUGCUGUAGUGGAAUUUAGGAAAGUGUGAGCACAAGUCCUUGACUUGUAGAGUAAGAUGCUGAGGCCCAGGCAUCAGGCAAGUGCUGAAAGCACAAUCCUAGUUCCCUAACAUUUAGCUACAAACUUUUAAUACUUGAACAGCUUCCCUCUUAGUUUAAUCCUGCUCAGAGGUUAUAGUAUUGAUGAUUUCUUAAAAUUCCCUCUAAUUGACUCAGUUUCUGCUUCUGAGCAUAGAAGAAAAGUCUUCAAGCUGAAGUAUCAGGUCACACUGGCUGUUUAUUGCAGAGAUAUUCCCAUACUUGUUUUUUGGUCUUGUUGAAUGAGCCAAAGACAAAUUCCUCUGGUGGAAAUGGCUAAGAUGUUCUGUAUUUGGUCUACUUGAAGCCAUCAGACACUGAGUGUUCUUCUCCACUUGGGUUUUUCUCUCUCUUUGGAAUAAUUACUUUAAGGAGGAAGUGAUUUACAAGAUGAAGGAAAUGGGAGGAAUAGUUCAAACAACCACAACAAUACCUUUUUUUCUCUUCUUUCCUGAAGUAGUUUUCACUGUUAGAGCUCCAGAUGACUUUGUAAUCUGGUUCAAAGUUGAACUUCCUCUCUGCUUAGCUGUAUUAAAAAAUAAAUUAAAAAAAAAGCUAGUUCAAAGUUGCAUGAAUGGAUUUUUGACAUACUUUGAUAUUGGUUACUUGGCUUCAUUUUAUGUACACUUUGGACAGAGGUAUUUCUUAUAAAAGAGAAUUAUCUGACCCAUUGACCUCAUGUCAGUCCUGUCUUUUUCAUGUUUCUGCUCUCAAAGGCUUAAGGAGAACAUGUGACCAAGCACGGCUCCAAGAAUCACCCUGCAGGGCCUUGUGUAAAUUCUUCUUUCUGUUCCACAGCUGCCCUCUAUAAAAGUGGUUUUGAAUUGGGAAUUAGUAAGAAUGUAGCACAGAGGAACAUAUUUUUGACAUAUUUUAAAAUAUAUAUUGGUAAUAUUGUCACACUGGAGUCAUUCUAGACCCCUCUUCCCCUUUCUCUUGCCUCCCACAUCCCAUCUGUCAGGGAACAGUAUAGAUAUAGAACCUGACCUCCUCUGGAUGGACCCCUCUCACCUCUUACCACCACCUCUCAUCUGAAUGACAUUUGCCUCCCCAAAGUUAUCUGUGCCCUCCCCCCAUACCUAGUAUGUUUGCCAUGCAAAUUGAAGGGUCUCUCUCAAACCUAAGUCCCAACUAAGUCCUGAUUCCCCUUCGCUUUCCUAGCUAACGAGGCCCUUGACCCUCUGGCCCCUGUAAUUGCCUAGGUACCUGCUCCUUGUACACAGGCUUUGGGGCAUUUCCUCUGCCUGGAAUGCUCCCCAUUUAGCCACAGGCUCACUCCCUCACCUUCUGUGUCUUUUCACAAAUGCCACCUUUUCAAGGAGGCUGACAUACAACCAUCUAUUUAAAAUCAUUCAAAAUUUUCCAUCCCUUUUGGCCCUAUAAUUCCUCUUCUGAGAAUUUUCAGUAUUGGUACACUUGCACCUGAAAGUAUAUGUAUGUGUGUGUGUGUGUGAAUCCUAAAGUUAGCAAACAAUAAAGCUAUUUGGAUUUAGGGGAAAAAAAUAAAAUCACAACCAUCUUUUCCUUCCACAGAUCCCCAAACUUGCUUAUCUUGCUCAAUUUUCUUUUCCAUAGCAAUUAUCAUCUUCUAAUAAACAAUGGCAGAUGUAUAGUUCUGCCUUUUAAAAAUUAUCUAACACUCUGCACCCCCCUCCACACACACACACACAAGCAUGCACAGGCACACUGCAUUCCCAGCCUCCUCCUCAGGGACAGGGAUCUUUGUUUUAUCUCUAAUGUGUGUAAAGAGAGAUACAGGUACACACACAUACAAUGAAGGAGUAUCAUUACUAAGGUUGGAUUUUAGACAUUCUAACAAGUAAUUAAAACAGACUUGUCAUUGGAUAGUGAGACAUUCGUGCCUCUUCAGUUUUUGGCAACAGAAAGGUCCUGUGCCUGCCUCUGGCAAGAAGAAGAAAUUACUAGGAGGCCUGGGAGUAGCUCACAGAACAGGAGAAAAAAACAAACAUUUGGGUCUUAUGAAGCAGUGGCCUCAAAACAUUUUUGCUCUCAAAAUCCUAGAGGAAUAUGGAAAAGCUAUGUACAAUCGUGUACAUUUUUAGUUUUAUAUCUAAACUUGUUCAUUGUGAGUUUUAAAAUGUCAAAGGAUGAACUUUCUAGCAUAUGGCAAAUAUUGACGUUUAAAAAUAAAAUCUGUAGGGAACUAUAUUCAGUCUCCUGGGACAGACCAUGAU